rnacentral:rRNA from 1 species
UGGGGAAUAUUGCACAAUGGGGGAAACCCUGAUGCAGCGACGCCGCGUGAACGAAGAAGGUAUUCGUAUCGUAAAGUUCUGUCCUAUGGGAAGAUAAUGACAGUACCAUAGAAGAAAGCUCCGGCUAAAUACGUGCCAGCAGCCGCGGUAAUACGUAUGGAGCGAGCGUUGUCCGGAAUUAUUGGGCGUAAAGGGUACGCAGGCGGUUUAAUAAGUCGAAUGUUAAAGAUCGGGGCUCAACCCCGUAAAGCAUUGGAAACUGAUAAACUUGAGUAGUCGAGAGGAAAGUGGAAUUCCUAGUGUAGUGGUGAAAUACGUAGAUAUUAGGAGGAAUACCAGUAGCGAAGGCGACUUUCUGGACACAAACUGACGCUGAGGUACGAAAGCGUGGGGAGCAAACAGG